rnacentral:rRNA from 1 species
UACGAAGGGGGCUAGCGUUGCUCGGAAUCACUGGGCGUAAAGGGUGCGUAGGCGGGUCUUUAAGUCAGGGGUGAAAUCCUGGAGCUCAACUCCAGAACUGCCUUUGAUACUGAAGAUCUUGAGUUCGGGAGAGGUGAGUGGAACUGCGAGUGUAGAGGUGAAAUUCGUAGAUAUUCGCAAGAACACCAGUGGCGAAGGCGGCUCACUGGCCCGAUACUGACGCUGAGACGCGAAAGCGUGGGAGCAACAGG